rnacentral:rRNA from 1 species
UACAGAGGUGGCAAGCGUUGUUCGGAAUUACUGGGCGUAAAGGGCGCGUAGGCGGCCUUGUAAGUCCCGUGUGAAAUCCCUCGGCUCAACUGAGGAACUGCACGGGAAACUGCUUGGCUUGAGUUCGGGAGAGGGAAGCGGAAUUCCGGGUGUAGCGGUGAAAUGCGCAGAUAUCAAGAGGAACACCAAUUGCGAAGGCAGCUCGCUGGGACGUUACUGACGCUGAGACGCGAAAGCGUGGGGAGCAAACAGG